rnacentral:rRNA from 1 species
CAAUAGCGUAUAUUAAAGUUGUUGCAGUUAAAAGCUCGUAGUUGAACCUUGGGCUUGGUUGGCCGGUCCGCCUCUUUGGCGAGUACUGGACCCAACCGAGCCUUUCCUUCUGGCUAACCUUUCGCCCUUGUGGUGUUUGGCGAACCAGGACUUUUACUUUGAAAAAUUAGAGUGUUCAAAGCAGGCCUUUGCUCGAAUAUAUUAGCAUGGAAUAAUAGAAUAGGACGUUAUGGUUCUAUUUUGUUGGUUUCUAGGACCAUCGUAAUGAUUAAUAGGGACGGUCGGGGGCAUCAGUAUUCAGUUGUCAGAGGUGAAAUUCUUGGAUUACCUGAAGACUAACUACUGCGAAAGCAUUUGCCAAGGACGUUUUCAUUAAUCAAGAACGAAAGUUAGGGGAUCGAAGACGAUCAGAUACC